CCUAAUUGCAGGCGCAGGGGUCAGGUAAUACGUAGGCGUCAGGCGUGAAUCGGUAGGACUGGGGGUAGUGAGUGAGCGAGCGGUUUUGUAAGACAAGCGUGAAAUCCCCGGGCUCAACUCGGGAAUUGCGCUUGUGAUUGCAAGGCUGGAGUGCGGCAGAGGGGGAUGGAAUUCCGCGUGUAGCAGUGAAAUGCGUAGAUAUGCGGAGGAACACCGAUGGCGAAGGCAAUCCCCUGGGCCUGCACUGACGCUCAUGCACGAAAGCGUGGGGAGCAAACAGGAUUAGAUACCCCGGUAGUC
rnacentral:rRNA from 1 species